CGCCUCCUGCAAAAAUCAAUGUAUAGGAGGUCUUGCCUGCCCAGUGACAAGUUAAACGGCCGCGGUAUUUUGACCGUGCGAAGGUAGCGCAAUCACUUGUCUUUUAAAUGAAGACCUGUAUGAAUGGUGGAACGAAGGCUUAACUGUCUCCCCUUUCAAGUCAAUGAAAUUGAUCUGCCCGUGCAGAAGCGGGCAUAAAAAUACAAGACGAGAAGACCCUUUGGAGCUUAAGAUACAAGAUCAACUAUGUCAAGAACUCUAAAAUUAAGUUAAACUAAAUAGUUAACUGAUCCCUAUCUUCGGUUGGGGCGACCGCGGGAGAAAACAAAGCUCCCACGCGGACUGGGAUUAUAAUCCUAAAACCAAGAAAGACAUCUCUAAGUCGCAGAACAUCUGACCAUAAAGAUCCGGCCUAACCCGCCGACCAACGGACCAAGUUACCCUAGGGAUAACAGCGCAAUCCCCUUUCAGAGUCCAUAUCGACAAGGGGGUUUACGACCUCGAUGUUGGAUCAGGACAUCCUAAUGGUGCAGCCGCUAUUAAGGGUUCGUUUGUUCAACGAUUAAAGUCCU
rnacentral:rRNA from 1 species